rfam:Cephalotus follicularis DNA, scaffold: scaffold548, isolate: St1.
UGAGAAAACAUCAUUGAGUGCAGCGUUGAUGAAUUCCUACAGAUUUCUGUUGGUUUGUUUCCAAUUUUUGUGGAAAUAUGUAUGCCAUGGGUGUGGAAUGAUUUCACCAGCGCUGCACUCAAUCAUGUUUUUC